AAAAAUCCCAAAAGUUAUAACCUGGAACUGAAACUGUUAAAAGCUAUAAUAAUUUGCAGACAAUAAUGAGAUAAGUACAGUAAUUUAUCGCUAAAAACUGUUGGUUUGCUUUUAUGUAAAGGAAACUCAAUCUCUUCAAAAGUCCAUUAAACAUCACAUGGAUGAAAUGAGAUAACUGCUGGUCCAGAUAACACUAACAGCAAAAUCAGUAUCGAAGUGCAAUACUAAACACUAAUUCAUCCUGAUUUAUUUCACUUAACAUACAGAUAAAAUAUUCCCCCAAAAACAUGAAGAGAAACAUACUAGUAGUAGUU
rnacentral:misc_RNA from 1 species